rnacentral:lncRNA from 1 species
UCAUCUUCCUAGCUUUUCUUCCAUUGCAACUUCCUUCCAUAUUAUGGGAGCCUUCUGAGUUGUGAUUCAUUCUUCUAAGCUAACAUCCAUCUCCCUUCACCAUAGUUUCACUACUUCCGCUGCCUACCAUCCUAAAACUUCCAACAACUUUACAUUGAUGAGCAUCCAGAUCUGGCUUGCUUCUGCCGAGCACUGUUCCAUUGAAGUGCUUCAACCGUUCUGCCUCAUU